AAAAAAGAUGGCAAAUAUACACUGGUCAAUCAAGUAUGUUUAUUACCUACAGUGAGACCUGUCCAGUUAUGCACUUGCGACCCUUCAAACUUCACAGAAUCAGCUGGCAGAGCAAUCAUUUUGGUUUGCAUAAAUGGUCGGUAUGACUUGCACUUGCCAAACUUGCUGUGCAGAUUAUGUCUGGCUCAUUGGACACCUGACAUGAGCGACCUAAUAAGAAGUGGGUACUGGCCAGCAUCUGUGAAUGCUGACACGCUGUUUUCAGUCGAUGUCUUCAGCACAUUUGAAGAAAUGAAAACUGUUGCACCAGG